rnacentral:rRNA from 1 species
AUGUGUUGGUUUGCAUGGGGGAAGUUGUGUGUUCCGAAGAAUAGAGGGGACUUGGGAUUUAGAGACCUUCACGGUUUUAAUCUUCUUAUGUUAACAAAACAGUGUUGAUGACUAAUCCAAAACCCAUAAUUUUUGUGUGCACGUGUUCUGAGUGCAAAAUAUCAUCCUGAUGGAAAUAUAUUAAUGGCGGGGCCAAAAAAUGGAUCUUCAUAUACAUGGAAAAGUAUAUAUAGUGGCAUUCAAACCUUCAUGAACGGGUGCAUAUGGAGGGUUGGAAGUGGGUCACGAAUAAACAUAUGGCAGGACCCAUGGAUCCCGACAAGUGUAUCUAGAAAAGUUAUUACACCAAGGGGGCAACUAUUGACGAAAAUAGAAGAGGUGAUUGACCCGCAUAUCGGGCAGUGGGAUGAAGCUCUAAUUCGAGAUGUUUUCUCUCCAAUAGAUGUGCAAAUAAUUCUCCAGAUACCGCUUAAUAUGCAAUCCUUUGAUGACUUUGUGGGAUGGCAUUAUACUUGCUCCGGAACAUUUUCUGUACGAUCAGCGUAUCACCGAGAAUUGGAGCACUAG